GUCGAGCGGACCUUUCGGGGUCAGCGGCGGACGGGUGAGUAACACGUGGGCAAUCUGCCCGAUACUCUGGGAUAACGCUUGGAAACGAGUGCUAAUACCGGAUGGUCUUCUUGGCCGCAUGGCCGAAAAGGAAAAGACGCGUUCGCGUCGGUGUCGGAUGAGCCCGCGGCGCAUUAGCUAGUUGGUGAGGUAACGGCCCACCAAGGCGACGAUGCGUAGCCGACCUGAGAGGGUGACCGGCCACACUGGGACUGAGACACGGCCCAGACUCCUACGGGAGGCAGCAGUAGGGAAUCUUCCGCAAUGGGCGAAAGCCUGAUGGAGCAACGCCGCGUGAGUGAUGAAGGCCUUCGGGUUGUAAAACUCUGUCAUUCGGGACGAACCGGAGUCUGAGGAAAUGCAGACUCUCUGACGGUACCGGAGGAGGAAGCCCCGGCUAACUACGUGCCAGCAGCCGCGGUAAUACGUAGGGGGCAAGCGUUGUCCGGAUUCACUGGGCGUAAAGCGCGCGCAGGCGGUGAUGUAAGUCUGAGGUGAAAACCCGAAGCUCAACUUCGGGACUGCCUUGGAUACUGCGUCACUUGAGGAUAGGAGAGGCAAGGGGAAUUCCACGUGUAGCGGUGAAAUGCGUAGAGAUGUGGAGGAACACCUGUGGCG
rnacentral:rRNA from 1 species